UUCAAGUAUGAAAGUGUUUUAUUGGAGUGUAGUUACAUGUGCUAUGUUCUAACAGGUGUCCUCCAACAGGUGUUCGUCUCACAGGUGUCCAUACAAUAGAUGUCUGUCUAACAGGGGUCCGUCUAAUAAGUGUCUGUAAAGCAUGCGUCCGUCUAACAGGUGUCAGUUACUGAGUCAUUCUCUAACAGCUGUCCGUCCAACCGGUGUCCUCCUAACAGGUACAGCCCUAAAAGUUUCAGUCAAACAGGCGUACGUCUGGCAGGUGUCCGUCUUACAAAUGUCUGUCUAACAAGUGUCCGUCCGAUAGGUGUCCGUCUGAUAGGUGUCCGUCUGAUAGGUGUCCGUCCAAAAGGUAUUCGUUUAACGAGUGUUACUUUAGUGUCUCUAUGAAAGGUGCCCGUCUAAAAGGUGUCGUGUAACAGGUGUCUGUGUAACAGGUGCAGGUCGUAUAGGUGUCCAUCCAAAGAGUGUCCGUCUAACAGAUGUAGAUCUUACAGGUGUCCGUCCAAAGAGUGUCCGUCUAAGGAGUGUCAGUCUAACAGGUGUAGAUCUUACAG